AUAAAUUUGAUGAAGGAAAAAAGUAAGUUAUAUAUCUGUUCUAAAUGCCUUAAUUAUUAAAUCAAGGAAAUAUAAGAGAGUUAACAUUUGGUGAAAGUUAAUGUUCAGAUUCUAGCUGAAAAUCAUCCCGGAGAAGUAAAGCUGAAGUUUUUAGUAAGCUUUAACGGAACUCUACCGUUAAAAGGAGAACGUAUCAUGAUGUACGUAUUGAGCUGUCAUGAAUCAUAGAUGUUUAGUGAUUCAUGGAAUCAGGGUGGUAACGCGAUUAUAACUCGUCCCUUUA
rnacentral:ncRNA from 1 species